rnacentral:rRNA from 1 species
AUUGAACGCUGGCGGCAUGCCUUACACAUGCAAGUCGAACGGUAACGCGGGGCAACCUGGCGACGAGUGGCGAACGGGUGAGUAAUAUAUCGGAACGUGCCCAGUAGUGGGGGAUAGCCCGGCGAAAGCCGGAUUAAUACCGCAUACGACCUAAGGGUGAAAGGGGGGGAUCGCAAGACCUCUCGCUAUUGGAGCGGCCGAUAUCAGAUUAGGUUGUUGGUGGGGUAAAAGCCCACCAAGCCGACGAUCUGUAGCUGGUCUGAGAGGACGACCAGCCACACUGGGACUGAGACACGGCCCAGACUCCUACGGGAGGCAGCAGUGGGGAAUUUUGGACAAUGGGCGCAAGCCUGAUCCAGCAAUGCCGCGUGCAGGAAGAAGGCCUUCGGGUUGUAAACUGCUUUGUACGGAACGAAACGGUCUGGGCUAAUACCCCGGGCUAAUGACGGUACCGUAAGAAUAAGCACCGGCUAACUACGUG